rnacentral:misc_RNA from 1 species
ACACCUCAACUCUCAUGGUUUGCCAUGUGAGCUUGGACUUUGGAGGUCUUGCUGGCCUGUGGUCGGCUCCUCUCAAAUGAAUCAGCUUGCCAGUGUUUGGUGGCAUCACAGGUGUGAUAAAUAUCUAUGCUUGUGGUUUUCUGCCAGAUAACCUUCAGCAAUGGAGGUUCAUUGGAGCUCAUAAAUGUCUCUCCUCAGCGAGGACAGCUCUUUGAAUGU